rnacentral:lncRNA from 1 species
GCCCUUUCUCCUCCCCUUUGCCCGGCUGGUGCUCGCUGCUGUUCGGCUUCUGCCUUCCCGGCCCGCGGAGCGUGCCCUCUCGACCUCUCAUCAAGGAAACUUCUCCUUGCAACAGAUGAAGACCACCAUAGAAGACAACAACCAACCAUGCAAAGUUUUAAAGCAUGGCACCAGUGAACAUAUCUACAAAACACUUCUGCACCUAAGGCUCAGGGAACAUCGAGGAAGAGGAGGCAGAGAGGUCGUAAGGGCCAGAGGAUCAGAUAAUUUUCUGCAAGACUGUCAAUCUCAGAGUAAUGUCAGAAGCCACACCUAUAAAAAUCUCACUAAUAGGACUGCCCAAUUGUGAGCUGAACAAGAACAGCACCAAUGGACAUGCCAAAGUGGGCAAGAAGAGGCCAGGAGGACACAACACUACACAAAGAACUGUAGGCAAUGAGGCACGCUGGAAACGGGGGAGGCAAAGUGUCCACACUUUGGUCUUCGUUCUCUUGAGUUUAAUGUGUUAGCAAAUUAAUUGUAUCUUAUGUCUUGGGUAUCCUAAGUUUCUGGGCUAAUAUCCACUUAUCAGUGAGUACAUAUUGUGAGAGUUCCUUUGUGAUUGGGUUACCUCACUCAGGAUGAUGCCCUCCAGGUCCAUCCAUUUGCCUAGGAAUUUCAUAAAUUCAUUCUUUUUAAUAGCUGAGUAGUACUCCAUUGUGUAAAUGUACCACAAUUUCUGUAUCCAUUCCUCUGUUGAGGGGCAUCUGGGUUCUUUCCAGCUUCUGGCUAUUAUAAAUAAGGCUGCUAUGAACAUA